rnacentral:lncRNA from 1 species
CCCAAUAUGCUGUAUGUCACCCACAUACAUAAUCAAGAAGUUAGUAGGACUCCCACCUAUCUUCUUGCACAUACAUAUGGUUUAUCUAUUUUUGAUAACGUCAAAUAUUUUGACUAUCUCAUCAAAAAUAGAAGUACCAUCUCCUCAAAAUCUGCUUGAAUCCAUAAAUGCAUUUGCCCUCCCACUAGAGUCAACUUCUCUAGAUGAAGUAUGGUAAUAGCAAAAAUCCAAAUAGACAUUCCUAUUAGCAACCUAUUGGGUCAUACCCAUAGAUGCUUCAACUAUAGUCCAAACUUGGUUGAUGUACAGGGAGUUCAUUUCGAAUAUCAAGAUUUCAGGCCAACUGUCAGAGUCUCUACUCAUGACAAUCUUCGAAUAGGUCAAGAUGAACAUCAUUCUCAAUGAUGUAUGGUGUAUCGUCAUUCUCAAUGACAAACCCAUAUUAGAGUAGUACAUUACGCACUUGGAUUGACCUUCAAUGAGGAGGUGUGUUUUAUGGUUGUGCCUCAUCAAUGAGCACAUCAGGUUGAGGAUCAAUUUUGUGGACAUUUCACAGAUUAUAAUAGGAUAGUUCAUAAGUCUUGAACUUCUCAAGUUCAAUUAUUCUCCCAUUGUCCCCUUCUUAGAAAAAUUUUUUUCCUAAAAGAUGGUAUAUCUACUAUCAAAACACUUUUGUCAAGUAGUGUGGUAGAAAUAGUAUCACAUACUACUCUUAGGAUAACCUAUAAACUAAUAUAUAUAUAUAUAUUAACCUAUUUUAGCAUAAAACUUAUGUACAUCAGUAUUUUUCACAUAAGUUGGCCAAUCUGCCCAUAUUUCAUAUGGAGUGCUCAU